GCUUACGGCCAUACCACCCUGAGAACGCCCGAUCUCGUCUGAUCUCGGAAGCUAAGCAGGGUCGGGCUUGGUUAGUACUUGGAUGGGAGACAGCCUGGGAUUACCAGAUGCUGUAAGCU
ensembl:rRNA 5S_rRNA 5S ribosomal RNA